rnacentral:rRNA from 1 species
GACGUAGGGCGCGAGCGUUGUCCGGAUUUAUUGGGCGUAAAGAGCUCGUAGGCGGCUCGUUGCGUCGGCUGUGAAAACCCGCAGCUCAACUGUGGGCGUGCGGUCGAUACGGGCAUCACUGGAGUUCGGCAGGGGAGACUGGAAUUCCUGGUGUAGCGGUGAAAUGCGCAGAUAUCAGGAGGAACACCGAUGGCGAAGGCAGCUCGCUGGGACGGUACUGACGCUGAGGCGCGAAAGCGUGGGGAGCGAACAGG